UAUGGCCAUAUCACAUUGAAACACUGACUCCAGUACGAUCACUGAAGUUAAGCAACAUCGAGCCUAGUCAGUACCUAGAUGGGUGACUGCUUGGGAAUACCAGGUGCUGUAAG